rnacentral:rRNA from 1 species
AACGGGUGAGUAACACGUGAGUAACCUGCCCCUGACUUCGGGAUAAGCCCGGGAAACUGGGUCUAAUACCGGAUACGACCUGUCCUCGCAUGAGGGUGGGUGGAAAGUUUUUUCGGUUGGGGAUGGGCUCGCGGCCUAUCAGUUUGUUGGUGAGGUAAUGGCUCACCAAGACGACGACGGGUAGCCGGCCUGAGAGGGCGACCGGCCACACUGGGACUGAGACACGGCCCAGACUCCUACGGGAGGCAGCAGUGGGGAAUAUUGCACAAUGGGGGAAACCCUGAUGCAGCGACGCAGCGUGCGGGAUGACGGCCUUCGGGUUGUAAACCGCUUUCAGCAGGGAAGAAGCGAAAGUGACGGUACCUGCAGAAGAAGUACCGGCUAACUACGUGCCAGCAGCCGCGGUAAUACGUAGGGUACGAGCGUUGUCCGGAAUUAUUGGGCGUAAAGAGCUCGUAGGUGGUUGGUCACGUCUGCUGUGGAAACGCAACGCUUAACGUUGCGCGUGCAGUGGGUACGGGCUGACUAGAGUGCAGUAGGGGAGUCUGGAAUUCCUGGUGUAGCGGUGAAAUGCGCAGAUAUCAGGAGGAACACCGGUGGCGAAGGCGGGACUCUGGGCUGUAACUGACACUGAGGAGCGAAAGCAUGGGGAGCGAACAGGAUUAGAUACCCUGGUAGUCCAUGCCGUAAACGUUGGGCACUAGGUGUGGGGGACAUUCCACGUUCUCCGCGCCGUAGCUAACGCAUUAAGUGCCCCGCCUGGG